rnacentral:misc_RNA from 1 species
GAUGAAGAACGUAGCGAAAUGCGAUAAGUAAUGCGAAUUGCAGAAUUCCAGUGAGUCAUCGAAUCUUUGAACGCACAUUGCGCCCUUUGGUAUUCCGAAGGGCAUGCCUGUUCGAGCGUCAUUAUCACCCCUCAAGCCCUCGGCUUGGUGUUGGACGGUUUGGUGGAGGCCCCCUCGGGGGUUCCUGCCCCUCCCAAAGACAAUGACGGCGGCCUCGUUGGACCCCCGGUACACUGAGUUCUUCACGGGACACGUAUCGGACACAUGGGUUUACGGGACACGGUCUGCCUCCCCUCAGGGAGAUCUUUCUAAGGUUGACCUCGGAUCAGGUAGGGAUACCCGCUGAACUUAAGCAUAUCAAUAAGCGGAGGA